UUUUUUUUUUUUUUUUGGUGUCAUAUGUAAGAAUGCAAGGUCAUAAAGACUUAAACCACAUUUUCUUCUACAAGUUUUAUAGUUUUCUUCCAUUUAGGUCUUUGAUCUAUUUUGAGUUAAUUUUUGUAUUCAGUAUGGGGUAGAAGUCCAAUUGCAUCUUUUACACGUGGAUACCCAGCUGUUCCAGCACCUUGUGUUGAAAAGACAACUCCUUCCUUGUUAAAUGGCCUUGACGCUUUUUGAAAAAUUCAGUUGACUAUAGCUAUAUGAGUUUAUAUUUGAUUUGUUCAUUGCUAGUGUAUAGAAAUAAAAGGUAUUUUUAUAUAUUAGUCUUAUAUCCUGCAACCAUACCUAACUCCCGUAUUAAUUCUAAUAGUUUUUUAUUUAAUUUCUUAGGAUUUUCUACAUGUAAGAUCAUCUGCAAAUAAAAACAGCUUUCCAUCUUGAUGCCUUUUAUUCCUUUUUCUUGCCUAAUUGGCCCCUCUAGAACAGCGUAGAAGUGAUAAGAAUGGAUAUCUUAUCAUGUCCCUUAUCUUAGGGGAAAGUCUAGUCUUUCAGUAUUAAGUAGAAUAUUAGAUAUGGGGUUGUUUGGUUUGGUUUCAACGUCCUUUAUCAGUGUUUUCAUAUCUUUUUACUGAGGUAUAAUUUGCAUACAGUGAAAUUGACAAAUCUUAAAUGUAUAAACAAAUCUUAAGCUUGAUGAAUUUUUAUGUGUAUGUGUGUACACCCAUGAAACCACCACCAAGAUCUGGCUAGAGGAUAUUUCGUUUCACACACCCAGAGCGUCCCCUUAUAGGAUUCCCCAUUAGGUUUGCAAAAUGCAGCAGAACAAAACAAAACAAAACAAAACAGAAAACAAAUAGGAUGCCCAGUAAUGCUUACAAUGAGGGACAAACAAAUAAAGUUUUAGUGUAAGUGUGUCUUAUGAAAUAUUUGGGGCAUAUCCUGGGACACUUACACACACAAAAAUUAUUGAUCAUUUAUCUGAAACACAAAUUGUAACUGGGCGUUUUGCAUUUGACCACACUGCCGUAGAUGAGUUUCCCCAUCCUUGAAUCUCAUACAGGUGAAAUCUUAGAGCAUGAACCUUGUUUCUUGCCCUAAUGUUUUUGAGAUCCAUCCAUGUUAUUGCCUCUAUCAGAACCACUCUUCUUCACUGCUGGGGAGUGUCCCAUUGCCCAAGGUCUAUGUUCGUUUUCCUGUUGAUGCCUGAGCUGUUUCCACUUUGAGACUCUUCUAAAUGGAGCUGCCACAUGUGCUCUGGCGGGUGUCUUGCUAUACACACAUGCACUUAUUUCUCUUGGGUAAAUACUUAGGAGCAGAAUUGCUGGGUCCUAGGUGCGCACGUGUUAGCUCUGUUAGAAACUAAUUUCUUUUCUGCAUACGUGUAAAAAUACAUUAGUUCCUCACUAACCCCUACACACACACAAACACAAUGGUAACUAUGUGAGGUGAUGGGUGUGCUAAUUAAUUUGAUUGUGAUAAUCAUUUCACAGUCUAUAUGUAUAUCAGAUUCUCAUGGUGUACACCUUGACUAUAUGCAAUUUUAGUUUGUUGGUUAUCCCUCAAUAAUGCUGAGGAGAAAAGAGUAAAACAAAAUCAAGACCAACCCAUACUUAGAGUAAAAUCAAUAAGGUAACACCCUAAAAAAAUAAAGACGUGAGUACAUUAGUAUGUGGGGUUUUACGGCAGGAGGAUCUUGAUUGAUGGGGGUUGUGAUCUAAAGAGUCGAGGAGUUCCGCAGAUUGGGGACACUGGUGGUUUGGGGGCAGGAAGGGGAGGUGAUCAGAGACACGCUUUAGGGAGGAAGUCUGACUCGUGUUUGUGCCGGGUGCCGAGCCCAUAGGGAUGGUGCUUCCAGAAGGACUCCAGAUAAACAGCAAACCACUUGUUGGUAUAAGCAUGUAUCAAUGUAUGUCCACAAGAAUGCACAGGACAUAUUGACAAAACAGUAUUCCUUAUUUAUCUGAAAAUGGAGUGAAUGUAUAUGAAAUCUAAAUUCCAUUGGCCAUCCUCUAUUUCUAUGUGCUAAAUCCAGCAGGUCCACACAGGU
rnacentral:lncRNA from 1 species